rnacentral:rRNA from 1 species
UACGUAGGGUGCAAGCGUUGUCCGGAAUUAUUGGGCGUAAAGAGCUCGUAGGCGGUUUGUUGCGUCGGCUGUGAAAUCCCGAGGCUCAACCUCGGGUCUGCAGUCGAUACGAGCAAACUAGAGUGUUGCAGGGGAGACUGGAAUUCCCGGUGUAGCGGUGAAAUGCGCAGAUAUCGGGAAGAACACCCGUGGCGAAGGCGGCUCUCUGGGACGGUACUGACGCUGAGACGCGAAAGCGUGGGGAGCGAACAGG